GUCUAUGGCCAUACCACCCUGAACGCGGCCGAUCUCGUCUGAUCUUGGAAGCAGAGUCGGGCCUGUUUAGUACUUGGAUGGGAGACUGCCUGGGAAUACCGUGAACUGUGGGCU
ensembl:rRNA 5S_rRNA 5S ribosomal RNA